UACGUAGGGUGCAAGCGUUGUCCGGAAUCAUUGGGCGUAAAGCGCGCGUAGGCGGCCCGAUAAGUCCGCUGUAAAAGUCAACGGCUCAACUGUUGAAAGCCGGUGGGUACUGUCGGGCUAGAGUACGGAAGAGGCAAGUGGAAUUCCUGGUGUAGCGGUGGAAUGCGCAGAUAUCAGGAGGAACACCUAUAGCGAAGGCAGCUUGCUGGGACGUUACUGACGCUAAGGCGCGAAAGCGUGGGGAGCGAACAGG
rnacentral:rRNA from 1 species